UAUUGUUUUGUGCUUUUCUUCCUUUCAUCGUUUUUGCUUUGCGCAUAUAUGACAUUCAUUGUUCGUUUCUCUUUCUCUGUGGGUUUCUAGGGGUUUCUAUGUAAUUGUCAUAGCUUUAAAUGUGCUACUCUCCUUGUUUCUUCUGUCUAUUUUCAAUUUAUUUCUCUUGUUUCUUUCUUCAUUCUCAUAGAUUUCAUUGCUUAUCUUCGCAUUUGUUCUUACUUUCUAAAAUUGAUUUCACGAAUAUUAUUGGUGGUCAAGAUUUAAGACUUUCGAUCUCAUAACAACAUUUUGAAGAUUAAAUCUUCUCAUGGUCUCGAUCCUUGAAAGGAGCCUUACGGUGUGAGAGCUUGUGAUUCAAGUAUGAUACUGUCGUCUUCUCCUGAUUUCUAUGCAAGGGCUUCUACCCAAGGAGCUUAGCUGAUUGAGCACAAAAAGCUUUUGUUGUAUAGAUUCAAGAUUCUACAAAUUCAAUUUGUCUUUUGAGAGUUGGUGACAUGACGAUUUGGGUUUUAUCUUGAUUUUGUUUUAAACCAAGUGGGAUGGUGAGAGUGAGACCUUGGUUAUGGUUGGGAGAUAUCGAGUAACUUUUUGUGGGAAUCAAAUUAGUGGUGUAGGUUGUGGAUCAUUUCUUCUUUAUACUGUAACUGUAUUUGGUUUGCAAUUGGUGUAUAUAAUAUUUUUUUUUAAUUAACAAUUCUAGCAACAUGAGGAUUUAUCUUAAUUAAUAAGUCAUCAUUAAUUAAUUAACGAUGAACACAUAUUUAUAUUUUUCUAUCUUAUUUCCUUGCAUGACUCGACAUUUGUCCAUGUGUAUUUAUCUCCCUCCCUUAUAACUACUUUCCCUGUCUUCCUUCUUCUCACUCUCCCCAUCUCUCUUCCACCUCUCUCUCUCUCCCCUCCUCCCUCUUUCUUGAACCACUUCCGUUUGCCACUUUCCCUUUCUUUUCUACCUCUCUUCUCGAUUCAUUGUUUUCCUCGCUCUCUUUGCACUCUCUCUCUCUCUCUCUUCCCUCACUCUGUUGCUAAUUAAGGUUUUAGUAUGGGUUUGUUUAUCAAUGAUAUUUGCAGUGCCAAGGUGUGUGGAAGCCUGGAUUUCAAAACCGAGGAAGCACUACGAAAAAAAGCUUUUGGUCCACCCCCUUUUUCCAACAAAUUCUUUUCUUAAAUUUUCUUUAUACAAUACAAAAUGCACGCAAGGACAUCUCUGGAUCUUUGUUGCAGUUGUUAUACUAUUGGUGGUUGGGAUCUAAGACUUUCGAUCACAUAACAAUAUUUUGAAGAUUGAAUCUUCUCGUGGUUUCGAUCCUUGAAAGGGGUCUUACGAUGUGAGAGCUCGUGAUUCAAGUACGCUACAUUGUCUUUUUGCGAUUUCUAUGCUAGGGCUUCUACUCGAGGAGCUUAGCUGAUUGAGGACAAAAAACUUUUGUUGUAUAGAUUUAGGAUUCUACAUGACAAAAAGCUGGUUGGUGACAUGACGAUUUGGGUUUGAUCUUGAUUUUGUUUUAAACCAUGUGGGAUGCUGAGAGUGAGACCUUGGUUGUCGCCAUGUAAUAUUGUGUAACUUUUUGUGGGUAAAUCAAAUUAGUACUAUAGGUUGUGGUUGGUGUAAAAUUUCCUUUUGUGGAAAAAAUUUGCCGACAUUAAUUGUACCAUUUCUUCUUUA